UAAAGUACAACGAAAUAAGUACCAAAAAAACCCUAGUAAAACCUAAACAAAGAGUCAGAAUACUGAACAAUUAUAAGAAUGAAAGUCCAGCGCUAAUUUCAGCAUAUUGAGAAAAGAGGCCAUAAAAGAUAAUGAUUCACAAAGUUUUAGUAAUUUUGAAAAGUGACGAAAAUGAUGCUUUUAUAAUAGAGAUAACUUGACUUGACGCAAUAGAUUAUUUUCAAAAGGGUAAGUAAAUCUGUUAAGUCUAAGAACACCUUAAAAUUAUUAAGCACAACAAAUAAUUUUACGCACAUCUAAAGUCUCAUUCAUUAUUUUAAUUAACUUCCGAAAAAGCAUACAAAGUAUCCAAUACUCCGCUCAUAGCUUGCCCAGAGCAAAAAGGAAAAUCAUUUGACAGCUUUAAAAAUUUAACUCGCAUAUUUCUUAAAAUAUGGUUCAGUUGGUGCUUUGAGCAACAUGAAUUCUAUGUAGGCUCAAUUGCUUACAUCGAAUGGCAAAACAAAUGUAGAAAGCAUACAGCCUUUUUUUUCUUUAAAAAGCUGAUAGGAAAAAAAUAUCAAAAAAAAGUAUCAUUUCGAAAAGGCUUUGACCAACCUUCCGGGUAAGACAUAAUUAAAGAAGGAAAUGUAGACCUUUUUGCUCAACAUAGCUUUGUUGCUGUAACAAGACUUCCGAAUAAUACUCACCAAUCAAAUUUGGUACAAAAAAGUACACGUUUGGGUCUUUCUGCUCGUUCUUUCCCAUUGUAACUAAUGUUGCAAAAGGAAGAUACAGCGUUAGUGGUCUGCCAUAAAGCUUACCGCAAUAUCGCUUUCCGUUGGAAUACGCAAAAAAAAUAUUACCGCCCGUACGAAAUCACCGUAAUUAAUAUUAUAAAAGGCCAACGUAGGAUUGUUUUCGUUUCGCUAAGCUUAUUACCUUCUUUGGAACAAAACACUUGCGCGACAAUCAUAACCUAGCUUAUUUAAGGUUACCUUGACUCAGUUCAAUUAUUAAUGGUUUUGCACGAGUAAUUUCUUUCAUGUUUGUAGAAUUAUGAAUUAAA